UACGUAGGGGGCAAGCGUUGUCCGGAUUCAUUGGGCGUAAAGAGCGUGUAGGCGGCCAGGUAGGUCGGUUGUGAAAACUGGAGGCUCAACCUUCAGAGGUCGACCGAAACCAUCUGGCUAGAGUCCGGGAGAGGAGAGUGGAAUUCCGUGGUGUAGCGGUGAAAUGCGCAGAUAUCAGGAAGAACACCCGUGGCGAAAGCGGCUCUCUGGAACGUUUCUGACGCUGAGGCUCGAAAGCGUGGGGAGCAAACAGG
rnacentral:rRNA from 1 species